rnacentral:rRNA from 1 species
UACGUAGGGAGCAAGCGUUGUUCGGAUUUACUGGGCGUAAAGGGCGCGUAGGCGGCGCGGUAAGUCACUUGUGAAAUCUCUGAGCUUAACUCAGAACGGCCAAGUGAUACUGCAGUGCUAGAGUGCAGAAGGGGCAAUCGGAAUUCUUGGUGUAGCGGUGAAAUGCGUAGAUAUCAAGAGGAACACCUGAGGUGAAGACGGGUUGCUAGGCUGACACUGACGCUGAGGCGCGAAAGCCAGGGGAGCAAAAGGG